AACGUAGGAGACAAACGUUAUCCGGAGUUACUGGGCGUAAAGGGCGUGUAGGUGGUACUGUAAGUCUGGCGUGAAAUUUUUCGGCUUAACCGGGAAAGGUCGUCGGAUACUGCAGGGCUAGAGGACGGUAGAGGCGUGUGGAAUUCCGGGUGUAGUGGUGAAAUGCGUAGAGAUCCGGAGGAACACCAGUGGCGAAGGCGACACGCUGGGCCGUACCUGACACUGAAGCACGGAAGCGUGGGGAGCAAACAGG
rnacentral:rRNA from 1 species